rnacentral:rRNA from 1 species
UACGUAGGGUGCAAGCGUUAAUCGGAAUUACUGGGCGUAAAGCGUGCGCAGGCGGUUUUGUAAGUCAGUGGUGAAAGCCUGCAGCUUAACUGCAGAAUUGCCAUUGAUACUGAUGAUCUUGAGUAUGAUUGAGGUGGGCGGAAUGUGUCAUGUAGCGGUGAAAUGCUUAGAUAUGACGCAGAACACCGAUUGCGAAGGCAGCUCACUAAGCCAUAACUGACGCUGAUGCACGAAAGCGUGGGGAGCAAACAGG